GGAGUUCCGAUUGCGUUUGGGCUGUGAUAAGUGUUCUGUUGACUGUAACCUAAUCAUGAUUCCCGGUUUAUAAAUAAACACGGAAGUAUGAGAGUCAUAAAACAAAUACAAUUGUUAAAAAGAACAAGGUUACUGGCUAAAUAAGGGUGAACGUAUAUAAAAACAAAAGAUGUCUUCAGAACUUCCAGAUAACGACACGGAAAAUGAUGAAAGUCAGUCUGAUAAUUUAAGUUUACUCGACGAGGAGCUUGAUAAUUUAGGCGUAACUGAGGACGAGACUAGUGAAUGCAUUUGUGAAGAACCAGAAUUGGGAUACGACGACGAAUGCGAAACAAACGUACAUGAUUACCUAAUGAGUAUAUAUGAUUUGUCAGGCAUGGAGUAUACCACCAGUAUAUUCAAAGGAGCAAAUGUUCCCUAAGAGGGCGUUUGCUCUAAAUGUUUAAAAACAAAACGCGUCACAGUUCGAGUAGAAUGCACACCAGUCUGGGACCAAGAGAGAAUAGAAAAUGACAGAGUUCCAGAAAUAGACUAUUUUGAGGACGUGAUUAUCGUAUCAGAAACAGUUGAUGAUCCUGAUGUUUCUUUACAAGACUGUUUUGUUGGUUGUGUUGAUGACGACGAUGAGAUGAUGACUAGAACGAUGCAAGUGUUACACUCCCCAGAGGAUGAACUGCCUGCGAACGUUAUUUGCAGUUACUUAGAGCGGGGAAAAACAUUCCUGUGCCUACCUAUGACCGAAAAGGAUCCGUCUUUUAAAGCAGCCUCGCUGUUGGAAAAUUCCAAGAUCCUGGACAAAACCCUGAUCAUUGUUACUGAACACGCAACACUUGACUUCUUAAGUACCGUGAAAGCUUUGUUGAAACAUACAGAAGUGAAAAGGAGUCUCAGUGUUAUGCUUAUUAGCUUGUCAAGGUGGUCAGAAGGCGCUCAAGCGCUUUAUUGGAAUACAAUUAAAUGUAUUUGUUAUGGAAAUUGAAAAUGCAGUUGGAAAUACAUUAACAUUACGCCAAGAACGAUGGCUUGAUAAGCCUAGACGAUAACGCAGAGAGUCUGCACGAAUUAAGAUGGGCUACAGUCAAACAUGUAUGUUUUAAUGCAUAUGUAAUUCACAACUAAAAUUAGAAUAGGAAAUUAGAAUAGUCCUAAUUUCUGAUUUAUAAUUGCACUUUGAUGGGCUUCAUCUUUUCAUGUAAAAGGUUUCGUUAAAGCUGCACUUUCACAGAUAUACCAUUUUUUACAACUUUUUUUUAUUUUUUGUCUUGGAAACAGCAAAUUUUUGCGUAAAUAUCUUCAAACCAAUGAUAUAUGAUUGCGGACAAAAUAUCAGAUCGUAGAUUUUCAUGUUUCCGUUCGACUAUUAAUGUUGUAUGGCUUAAACCAUUAAUAACGGUUUAAGAAAAAUGCAUAAAAACAUCAAAUUUUGAACUUAAAUAUAAAAAUCUGCGAUUUGUUUUUGUCAGCAGUCUUAUAUAACUGGUUUUUAUGGAUUUUCGCAAAAAUUGGCUCGUCCCAAGACAAAAAAUAAAAAUGUUGUCAAAACGUUCAAUCUGUGAGAGUGCAGCUUUAUAAAAUGAAAAUAUAUGUUUAAACUAUGAUGGACUGUACUUGAAAGAUUAUUGUGAUUUGUUUUAAAAAUGAUAUUGCGGAGGUGAAGUAUCAAAGGGACUCGUUCAUCAUUGAAGUGGUCAGACAUGGAAAUAAUUAAUCUCAUGUAAAAAUGAAUAAACGCUUGUAAUAAUGAUAAAUCUUUAACAAAAGUUUCAAUUCGCGCUCUGAUGUUGAUAUGGUCUUUUAAACAUGUGACGGUAAAUGUGUGCUCUAUGUUGUCGAAAUGCGUUUGUAACGGUAUUAAAAAUGUGUAUUUUAGCUCUAUACUAUACUACUAACCCUAGGGAGUCGGCUUCAUGUAAGCAUCUUAAGUCGUUAUCUCUGCAAAUACAUAGUGUAUUCAUUGAA